rnacentral:rRNA from 1 species
UACGUAGGGCGCGAGCGUUAAUCGGAAUUACUGGGCGUAAAGCGCGCGUAGGCGGCUUUGCAAGUCGGGUGUGAAAUCCCCAGGCUUAACCUGGGAACUGCAUUCGAGACUGCAUUGCUAGAGUAUGGGAGAGGGAAGUGGAAUUUCCGGUGUAGCGGUGAAAUGCGUAGAUAUCGGAAGGAACAUCAGUGGCGAAAGCGACUUCCUGGACCAAUACUGACGCUCAUGUGCGAAAGCGUGGGGAGCAAACAGG